GCUGUUCGCCAUUUAAAGUGGUACGCGAGCUGGGUUUAGAACGUCGUGAGACAGUUCGGUCCCUAUCUGCCGUGGGCGUUGGAAGAUUGAAGGGGGCUGCUCCUAGUACGAGAGGACCGGAGUGGACGAACCUCUGGUGUUCGGGUUGUGUCGCCAGACGCAUUGCCCGGUAGCUAAGUUCGGAAUCGAUAACCGCUGAAAGCAUCUAAGCGGGAAGCGAGCCCUGAGAUGAGUCUUCCCUGAUACUUUAAGUAUCCUAAAGGGUUGUCGGAGACUACGACGUUGAUAGG
rnacentral:rRNA from 1 species